GCCGGGCAUGGUGGCUCAUGCCUGUAAUCCCAGCAUUUUGGGAGGCUGAGGCGGGCCGAUCACCUGAGGUCAGGAGUUCGAGACCAGCCUGGCCAACAUGGUGAAACCCCGUCUCUA
rnacentral:SRP_RNA from 2 species